rnacentral:lncRNA from 1 species
UUUCUCUUUGGAGACCACAGCUGUGUGGAUACUUUACUUUUGUCAUGUUGUGUGGCUUGCUGACCUUCAGCAGAGCUAAGGUUUGACUAAGCAAAGAAUUCUUCACACUGUCAUAAGUCCUUGAAGCUGAAGACUGUGUUUUGAGAUUCUUUCGGAUACGUGCACCCUGCCUAGUACACAGUCCAUGUGAUGUGUGGUGAAGAUGCGUGUCACAGUUGGUAAUCCUGGUAGAUUAGGGGGUGUUGCAGAGAGCCUGUGGUCCUCUGUGACUUAAGUGUUAAUCUUGGCGUUGUGGGACUCUUAAGCCUUAUGAGGCUACUCCAAGUGUUGAGAUCUCCGGUUGAGACUGAUGUUCAGUGAGAAGAAGAUGAAAAGAUGCCUAUGGCGAGGACAUUGAAACUCUGAUUGUGUGUGUUGAAGGGAGAGGAGACAGAGUUUGGAAAGAAGAAGAAACUUCUCCUUCAGCUGCUUCUGCGAGUCCAGCAUCAUAAUUGCAUGAAACGAUUUCAUCACUGUCAGCAAGAGCUGGAACCAGUUUCAUCAGGUGCUACUGAAAUGAUCAUUAACUAUGGCCAGUGAAGGAUUCCAGCUGACUCCGGGGUGAAGGAUGGAGCUCAAGAAACAAAGUUUCUGGAAUUGUGGGGAAAACAACCCAGAAGCAGAAGAGAAAUAGUUGAGAAUAUCUAACUCUGUGAAGUUAUGUCCGCAGGCCUUUGGCUACUUCUGACAAUACAGAUCCAAUUGUGUUUCUAAGUUUGGAAUUCAAACUAAAUAAGUUAGGUCUCAAGAGCCCUUUUACAUGGUUGGACUAUUGCUGAAUUUUUAAACGUUUGAUUCGUCUUGGUUGGAGUAUUCCAUUAAAUAUGUUUUUC